CAGAGGCUAUUGCUAYCMSSGWUUGACUAAGCCAUGCGAGUCGAGAGGUGAAAGACCUCGGCAUACUGCUCAGUAACACGUGGAUAAUCUGCCCUCAGGUGAGGAAUAAUCCCGGGAAACUGGGGCUAAUGCCUCAUAGGAGACGGGUGCUGGAAUGCUCUGUCUCCGAAAGGUCCGCCGCCUGAGGAUGAGUCUGCGUCCGAUUAGGUUGUUGUUGGGGUAACGGCCCAACAAGCCUUUGAUCGGUACGGGUUGUGGGAGCAAGAGCCCGGAGAUGGAUUCUGAGACAUGAAUCCAGGCCCUACGGGGCGCAGCAGGCGCGAAAACUUUACAAUGCGAGCAAUCGUGAUAAGGAAACCCUGAGUGCCUGUCAAUGCAGGCUGUUCUGGUGUCUAACACACACCAGGAGAAAGGGCGGGGCAAGACCGGUGCCAGCCGCCGCGGUAAUACCGGCUGCUCGAGUGAUAGCCACUUUUACUGGGCUUAAAGCGUUCGUAGCUUGGUCGUUAAGUCUCUGGGGAAAUCUUUUGGCUCAACCAAAAGGCGUCUCAGGGAAACUGACGAUCUUGGAACCGGGAGAGGUAAGACGUACUUCGGGGGUAGGAGUGAAAUCUUGUAAUCCCCGAGGGACGACCGAUGGCGAAGGCAUCUUACCAGAACGGCUUCGACAGUGAGGGACGAAAGCUGGGGGAGCAAACCGGAUUAGAUACCCGGGUAGUCCCAGCCGUAAACGAUGUGCGUUAGGUGUGUCAGUGACCACGAGUCGCUGAGGUGCCGAAGGGAAACCGUGAAACGCACCGCCUGGGAAGUACGGUCGCAAGGCUGAAACUUAAAGGAAUUGGCGUGRGSASCACCACMACGGGUGGAGCCUGCGGUUUAUUG
rnacentral:rRNA from 1 species